rnacentral:rRNA from 1 species
UACGGAGGGUGCAAGCGUUAAUCGGAAUUACUGGGCGUAAAGCGCACGUAGGUGGUUUGUUAAGCCAGCUGUGAAAUCCCCGGGCUCAACCUGGGCACUGCAGUUGGAACUGGCAAGCUAGGGUAGAGGGGUGUGGAAUUCCAGGUGUAGCGGUGAAAUGCGUAGAUAUCUGGAGGAACAUCAGUGGCGAAGGCGACACCCUGGACUCAUACUGACACUGAGGUGCGAAAGCGUGGGGAGCAAACAGG